rnacentral:rRNA from 1 species
GGGAGCGAACAGGAUUAGAUACCCUGGUAGUCCACGCCGUAAACGAUGGAUACUAGCUGUCCGGCAGCAAUGCUGGGUGGCCAAGCGAAAGUGAUAAGUAUCCCACCUGGGGAGUACGUCCGCAAGGAUGAAACUCAAAGGAAUUGACGGGGGCCCGCACAAGCGGUGGAGCAUGUGGUUUAAUUCGAUGAUACGCGAGGAACCUUACCAGGGCUUAAAUGUAGUCUGACAGCUUUAGAGAUAGAGUUUCCUUCGGGCAGAUUACAAGGUGCUGCAUGGUUGUCGUCAGCUCGUGCCGUGAGGUGUCAGGUUAAGUCCUAUAACGAGCGCAACCCCUGCCGUUAGUUGCCAGCAUGUAAUGAUGGGGACUCUAACGGGACUGCCGGUGCAAACCGCGAGGAAGGUGGGGAUGACGUCAAAUCAUCACGGCCCUUACGUCCUGGGCCACACACGUGCUACAAUGGCCGGUACAGAGAGCAGCCAUGCCGCAAGGCAGAGCGAAUCUAUAAAACCGGUCACAGUUCGGAUCGGGGUCUGCAACUCGACCCCGUGAAGCUGGAAUCGCUAGUAAUCGGAU